GGAUAGUGGCGCACGGGUGCGUAACGCGUAUGGAAUCGACUUUUACUGGGGGAUAGCCCGGAGAAUCGGAUUAUACCCCAUGGUAUGCUAAAUGGCAUCAGUUUAGUAUUAAAGAUUUAUCGGUAGAGAUGGCAUGCGUAUGAUUAGCUAUUGGGGGGUAAUGGCCCACCAAGGCGAUGAUCAUUAGGGGGUCUGAAGGAUGAUCCCCCACAGUGGUACUGAAUACGGACCAGACUCCUACGGGAGGCAGCAGUAGGGAAUAUUGGUCAAUGGGCGAGAGCCUGUAACCAGCCAUGCCGGUGCAGGAAGAAGGCCCUCUGGGUUGUAAACUCGCUUUUGACAGGGGCCAAAAUACUCAUGCGUGAGGAAUUGAGAGUACCUGUAAAUAAGCACCGGUAACUCCGUGCCAGCAGCGGGUAUACGAGGUUCAAGCGUUGUCCGGAUUUAUUGGGUUUAAAGGGUGCGUAGUGGGCUUAUAAGUCAGUGGUGAAAGCCUGCAGUUUUAACUUGGUUGGGAACUGCCAUUGAUUAACUGGUAGGNUUGANUACUGAUGAANGUUAGGGGGGAAUUGAUAGUGGUUAGCGGUGGAAAUGGCUUAG
rnacentral:rRNA from 1 species